rfam:Phycisphaerae bacterium SM1_79 WOR1_30_36_21072, whole genome shotgun sequence.
ACAAUCCAGCCUGGUCAAAGGUUAGCCACCAGGCCAGAACUGAACUUGAUGUAUAUUGAGGUAACGAGAUAUGCAAAGCUCAAGGAAAGGCGAAUGCUCAGCCAUAACGUAAGUGAAGGUUUUCAGCCCCGAAAUUUGACUAAUUGCAUUGGGCCAAGAGGUUCACCACUCUGAAGCCAGCAUCGCUGCACACGAUAAUGGUGAGUGUGUUAGCGGCGGGCCGGGGUCGUAGACCA